AUACUGGUUGACUCUUGCAUUGGGGAGGUGGAUAGAAUAGUGGUGAAAGAGUGAAUAUACUGGUUGACUCUUACAUUGGGGAGGUGGACAGAAUAGGAGAUGAAGGAGUGAAGAUAUUGGUUAACUCGUUUUCUAUGAUUUUAUUGGAGUUUCACACUCUCCCAAAUCUGCACACACACAUCUGCCCCCAAUGCCUUCUUUACACACCUGAAAUGCUUCCUGACAGUGGCGGCUCGUCAAUAGGGACUGCGAGACUGCAGCCCCCCCAGUGGAUUUAUAGGAUUCACGAAAAUAAUGUUAAUUUAUUUAUGUUUGACUAUCAUUCACAUGAAAACACCAGUUCUCAUAUGUUUAUAUAGAAAAAAAAUAUUGCAAAACAGUGAGGAAGUACGGAAAUUAUUUACUAUUUAAUGAUACGAAAACGGGGAGAAACAGUGAGGAAGUACGGAAAUUAUUUACUAUUUAAUGAUACGAAAACGGGGAGAAACGGGGAGAGGCUUCCCGGCCCCGGGCAUAAUGGCGAGUGUGGACUGCAUCCAGCGCAGUCUUGUCCCGGCCGUUGUUGUGGCUAAGUGAGUGUUCUUGCGUCGGUCUUAUUUUCGAUGGUGUUUUUCAGUUUGUGAGGGAUGGAGAGGCUAAAUGCACUUGCCAUGAUUUCAAUAGAGAAGAUUUCUAUGAAUAAUAUGCCAGGUUUAAAUGAAAAAGUUAUUGAUCUGUUAGCACAAAACAGGAACAGGAGAAUGGACUUCCUUUUCAAAUAGCCUAAGCCACCACUAAGGAAGUCAAGCAUUUACUGUUAGGAUAAGACCUAAAGAAUUAAUUAAUUAUCUGUUUAUCUUUAUAAUCUAUCAAUCAAUGGUAUGUUAAACAAUAACAAUAAAAGCAUUUAAUAUUUUAUUUGUGUGAAUGUGAGACAGCCCCCCCCAUCAGUAACAGUCACGAGCCGCCAUUGAGCCUAUGUUGAGUUAAUCAGCCUAUUCUAACUCAUUUAUUUAUUUCUUGUUUAGCACCACAGAAAACGGAAUGCAUGGGCACUUUCCACAGAUUUUUGUGUUCAUCUCACCUCUCCACUUUUCAUAGGCCUGGGUGCUGUUGCAGUAGGCCUAUGUAUAUCAAGAUGGGAGGGAGGGGAGGAGGAGAGGGGUAACAAGUGUAACAAGUGUAACCUCCCCUGUGUGUUAGGUUAGGUCAGCUUAGGUCACACCGUAAUGACCUGUCCGAUGUUGCAGAUGGCAGUGGUCACGCAGCAGCUGACCCCACAGCAGGCCGCCCUCUCCUGUGACCCCCCGACCACCGCCACCACCACCACUGCCAGAAAGAGAGAGGGGACAGAGGGAAAGGUCACCUAACUGUCAGAUGGGUCCUCUCAAGAAUCACAAUCAACUGCAAGUGGGAAGAGGAGGAGGAGGAGGAGGAGGAGGAGGAGGAGGAAGGAUAAUUCUUCCUAUCAAAUUACUGAUGUUAUUGAUGAAGAUACAGUCAAGAGGCACGCAGAAGGGGUGAAGGAGCCACAGGAGGAGGUGACGAGUGGCCCAACCUAAGCUUUUCAGAAAUGGAGUCUUGAGAAUUUACCAGCUAGAUGGGUUUUCUUGGUUACUGACACUUUACGAGAACAGGAUCAACUUAAUUCUGGGAGACGAGAUAGGCCUGGGCAAGACUGUUCAGUUAAUCACCUUGGUGUGUCAUUUGGUGGAGCAGGGAGUGGCCGGGCCCUUCCUGGUGUGUGCCCUAUCCCCACGCUGCCAAACUGGAUGGCUGAGUGGCCAUCAGGGACAUGAGGGCUCUCCAGCAAUACGCCUGGAGAUAUUUGUGUGUGGACGAGGGACACAGACUCAAGAACCACAAGUGUAGGCUGACCAAGUCCCUGAACACCUUACCCCCCAUGAACCAACUGCUGCUGACUGGGACACCCUUACAGAACAGCGUGGCAGAGCUCUGGGCCCUUCUGAACUUCCUAAUGCCGGAUAUUUUUUGAUUCCCUUGAUGUUUUUGAGUCCUGGUUCAACGUCCUAUCACUCCAAUCCCUCCUCAGGAUCCCCCUAAGCGAAGGGCAGAAGGAGGGACAUUGGUGCCAGUUUGACCGAGGCUUGGGAGCUGAUCAACCCUAGGGCUCUGUUCUCCUUCAGCUGUGUCAAGGGCCUGGGCAGAGAAGAUAACCGUUGAAGGAGCGAGCAUCAGGAAUUGUGUCUGGAAUUCUGAGCACGUCUGCCUCAAUGUGGAUCAACAGUCGCAUAGAGCAGGAACUGAGUGACCCGUACGCACUGGUGGUUCUGCUGCACAAUGACCUUGUUGUUGUUGACCUCCUCUCCCCCGGCUACCCCUGGCUUCGAGAACCCUUAUUCAAUGGACAUCCACGAGUC